rnacentral:rRNA from 1 species
UACGUAGGGUGCAAGCGUUAUCCGGAAUUAUUGGGCGUAAAGAGCUCGUAGGCGGUCUGUCGCGUCUGCUGUGAAAACUGGGGGCUCAACCCCCAGCCUGCAGUGGGUACGGGCAGACUAGAGUGCGGUAGGGGAGACUGGAAUUCCUGGUGUAGCGGUGAAAUGCGCAGAUAUCAGGAGGAACACCGGUGGCGAAGGCGGGUCUCUGGGCCGUAACUGACGCUGGAGGAGCGAAAGCGUGGGGAGCGAACAGG